rnacentral:rRNA from 1 species
AUUGAACGCUGGCGGCAUGCCUUACACAUGCAAGUCGAACGGCAGCACGGGGGCAACCCUGGUGGCGAGUGGCGAACGGGUGGGUAAUGCAUCGGAACGUGCCCAGUAGUGGGGGAUAACCAGUCGAAAGGCUGGCUAAUACCGCAUACGACCUACGGGUGAAAGCGGGGGACCGUAAGGCCUCGCGCUAUUGGAGCGGCCGAUGUAUGCUGAGCUAGUUGGCGGGGUAAGAGCCCACCAAGGCGACGAUCAGUAGCUGGUCUGAGAGGACGACCAGCCACACUGGGACUGAGACACGGCCCAGACUCCUACGGGAGGCAGCAGUGGGGAAUUUUGGACAAUGGGCACAAGCCUGAUCCAGCCAUGCCGCGUGCGGGAAGAAGGCCUUCGGGUUGUAACCGCUUUUGGCAGGAACGAAACGGCGCAAGCCAAUACCUUGCGCUAAUGACGGUACCUGCAGAAUAAGCACCGGCAAACUACGUGCCAGCCGCCGCCGUAAGAC